CACGUAGUUAGCCGGAGCUUUUUCUCCAGGUACCGUCACGUCCUUCGUCCCUGGUAAAAGAAGUUUACAACCCGAAAGCCUUCUUCCUUCACGCGGCGUUGCUGGGUCAGGCUUUCGCCCAUUGCCCAAUAUUCCCCACUGCUGCCUCCCGUAGGAGUCUGGGCCGUAUCUCAGUCCCAAUGUGGCCGUUCAGUCUCUCAACCCGGCUACUGAUCGUAGGCUUGGUGAGCCGUUACCUCACCAACUACCUAAUCAGACGCGAGCCCAUCUCAGAGCAAUAAAUCUUUGGUCAUUAAGUGAUGCCACCCAAUGACAUUAUGCGGUAUUAGCAGAGGUUUCCCCCUGUUGUCCCCCACUCCGAGGCAGGUUGCUCACGCGUUACUCACCCGUCCGCCACUGUCCUCUACUUCAAUUGGCCGAAGCCUCUUUCCAUAGAUUCUCGUUCGACUUGCAUGUGUUAGGCACGCCGCCAGCGUUCGUCCUGAGCCAGGAUCAAACUCU
rnacentral:rRNA from 1 species